UCGGGAAUUUUGGGCAAUGGGCGAAAGCCUGACCCAGCAACGCCGCGUGAAGGAUGAAGUAUUUCGGUAUGUAAACUUCGAAAGAAUAGGAAGAAUAAAUGACGGUACUAUUUAUAAGGUCCGGCUAACUACGUGCCAGCAGCCGCGGUAAUACGUAGGGACCAAGCGUUGUUCGGAUUUACUGGGCGUAAAGGGCGCGUAGGCGGCAAUUCAAGUCAUCUGUGAAAUCUCCGGGCUUAACUCGGAACGGUCAGAUGAUACUGCUUUGCUAGAGUGCAGAAGGGGCAAUCGGAAUUCUUGGUGUAGCGGUGAAAUGCGUAGAUAUCAAGAGGAACACCUGAGGUGAAGACGGGUUGCUGGGCUGACACUGACGCUGAGGCGCGAAAGCCAGGGGAGCAAACGGGAUUAGAUACCC
rnacentral:rRNA from 1 species